rnacentral:rRNA from 1 species
AGGUGACCGGCCACACUGGGACUGAGACAGGCCCAGACUCCUACGGGAGGCAGCAGUGGGGAAUAUUGCACAAUGGGCGCAAGCCUGAUGCAGCGACGCCGCGUGAGGGAUGACGGCCUUCGGGUUGUAAACCUCUUUCAGUAGGGAAGAAGCGAGAGUGACGGUACCUGCAGAAGAAGCACCGGCUAACUACGUGCCAGCAGCCGCGGUAAUACGUAGGGUGCGAGCGUUAUCCGGAAUUAUUGGGCGUAAAGAGCUCGUAGGCGGUUUGUCGCGUCUGUCGUGAAAGUCCGGGGCUUAACCCCGGAUCUGCGGUGGGUACGGGCAGACUAGAGUGCAGUAGGGGAGACUGGAAUUCCUGGUGUAGCGGUGGAAUGCGCAGAUAUCAGGAGGAACACCGAUGGCGAAGGCAGGUCUCUGGGCUGUAACUGACGCUGAGGAGCGAAAGCAUGGGGAGCGAACAGGAUUAGAUACCCUGGUAGUCCAUGCCGUAAACGUUGGGCACUAGGUGUGGGGACCAUUCCACGGUUUCCGCGCCGCAGCUAACGCAUUAAGUGCCCCGCCUGGGGAGUACGGCCGCAAGGCUAAAACUCAAAGGAAUUGACGGGGGCCCGCACAAGCGGCGGAGCAUGCGGAUUAAUUCGAUGCAACGCGAAGAACCUUACCAAGGCUUGACAUGUUCUCGAUCGCCGUAGAGAUACGGUUUCCCCUUUGGGGCGGGUUCACAGGUGGUGCAUGGUUGUCGUCAGCUCGUGUCGUGAGAUGUUGGGUUAGUCCCGCAACGAGCGCAACCCUCGUUCCAUGUUGCCAGCACGUCGUGGUGGGGACUCAUGGGAGACUGCGGGGGUCAACUCGGAGGAAGGUGAGGACGACGUCAAAUCAUCAUGCCCCCUUAUGUCUUGGGCUUCACGCAUGCUACAAUGGCCGGUACAAUGGGUUGCGAUACUGUGAGGUGGAGCUAAUCCCAAAAAGCCGGUCUCAGUUCGGAUUGGGGUCUGCAACUCGACCCCAUGAAGUCGGAGUCGCUAGUAAUCGCAGAUCAGCAACGCUGCGGUGAAUACGUUCCCGGGCCUUGUACACACCGCCCGUCAAGUCACGAAAGUCGGUAACACCCGAAGCCGGUGGCCUAACCCUUGUGGGGGGGAGCCGUCGAAGGUGGGACCAGCGAUUGGGACUAAGUCGUAACAAGGUAGCCGUACCGGAAGGUGCGGCUGGAUCACCUCCUUUCUAAGGAGCAU